UACGUAGGUGGCAAGCGUUGUCCGGAUUUACUGGGCGUAAAGAGCGCGCAGGCGGUCGUGCAAGUCGCGUGUGAAAGCCCCCGGCUCAACUGGGGAGGGUCACGCGAUACUGCUCGACUUGAAGGCAGGAGAGGGAAGUGGAAUUCCCGGUGUAGUGGUGAAAUGCGUAGAUAUCGGGAGGAACACCUGCGGCGAAGGCGGGUUGCUGGGCUGAUACUGACGCUGAGGCGCGAAAGCUAGGGGAGCGAACGGG
rnacentral:rRNA from 1 species